AGUUCUCUUCCUGCUGCCUGGGUGUAGAACUCUCAGCUCCUUCUCCAGCACCUUGUCUCCCUGCAUGCCACCAUGUUUCUUGCAGUGAUAAUAAUGGACUAAACCUCUGAUCUGUAAGUCAGCCCCAGUUAAAUAUUUUCUUUUAUAAGGGUUUCUGUUGGUCAUGUUGUCUCUUCACAGCAGUGAAACCUUAACUAAGACAAAGAAGAUCAUGUUGAUUUUGUAAAGGCCUGUUUAAUCACCGACAUCCCAGCCAUGGCUUCCCCCUCCAUCCUCUCCUCCUAGGACCUCCCUCCCAACAGCCCCUUCCUGUCCCAUUCACUCCCCUAUGUUUCUCUUCAGAAAAGGGCUGGCCUGGAUGGAUAUCAACCAGCCACGGCAUAUCAAGUUGCAGUAAAACUCGGCACCUCCUUUUCUAUGAAGGCUAGACAAGACAACCCCGGUAAGGGGAAGGGUCCUAAAAGCAGGUAACUGAGUCAGAGACAGCUCCUGCUGUUAGGAGUCCCACAAGAAGACCAAGCUACACAACUGUAACAUAUGUACAAAGGGUCCAGGUCCAGCCCAUGCAGGCUCUCUGGUUGAUGGCUAAGUCUCUGUGGGCCUUACGGGCCUAGGUUAAUUGAUUCUGUGUGCUUUCUGUGAUUUCCUUGGUCCCUCUCGCUCCUACAAUCUGCACCCCCUCCAUAGGGUUCCUCGAGCUCUGCCAGAUGUUUAGCUGUAGGUCUCUACAUCUGUUUCCAUCAGUUGCUGGGUAAAGUCUCUCUGAUGACAAUUGGGCUAGACACCAAUCUAUGAGUAUAGCAGAAUAUCAUCAGGAAUCAGUUCAUUGACUUUUUUUCCCAUUCGUGUUUGGUUCUCUGGUGGGUCUCUGGGCUAUCUAGCCUCUGGCUCCUGACCCCUUGGGCAGUGUCAGGGGUGGGCUCCCUCUCAUGGCAUGGGUCUCGAGCUGGACCAGUCACUAGUUGGCCACUUUCAAAUUUCUGCACCACCUUCAUCCCAGCACAUCUUGUAGGCUGGACAAAUUGUAGGUCAAAGGUUUUACGGCUGGGUUGGUGUCUCAGUCCCUCCACUAGAAGUCUUACCUGGUUACAGGAGAUGGCUGGUUCAGGCACUGUAUCCCCUGUUGCUAGGAGACUGAUUUUAAGAAGGAAAUUUUUAAAAGCCACUGCUAUUAUCCAGUAUUAAAGGGAAGCAGAUAACAUCUUAGUACCCACCUAUCCCAGGUUCUACACUAGCUUUAUCCAGACCGAGGAUGGAUUAGUUAUGUGGACAUUUAUUUCAGCCAUUGAAUUGUGAGUUACAAUCACUUUUCCAUCAGUUGCCUGUAUCAGACUAUGAAACCCUUGAAGAGAGAACUGUUAUUUUUAUCGUCUUUAUUCCAAGAGCCUGAGUAUGAAACCAAAGUUGAUACCUAGCACUAUCCACUAUGAAUGAAUAAUCAUUGAACUAAUCUUUUUCCUGCACUUCCAGACUUCUAGAGCCCAGUGGAUCAUUUUCUGUUCACCAUAGCAAAAUGUUCGCCAGAGGAAGGAAUGAGGACCAUCCUGGAAGAUCUGGGUUCCAGCCCUCCUAAAUAUACUAUCUUGGACCUUGGACAAAGCAUACAUAUUUUUAGUAAUUUAUUGAUUUUUUUGGGGGGGCAUAUAUGCUACAGUGCUUAUGUGUAGGUCAGAGGACAGCUUUCCCAAGUCAGUUCUCUUUGUAGUGUGUGGGUCUUGAGGAUCAAGAGGUCAAUAGAAUGAUAUCUGAAAUUGCAUACAUGCGAAGUGCCUACGUCAUUCCCAUGCAGGCUCUUUGGUUGGCAGCUCAGUCUCUGUCUGCCCCAUGGGCUCAGGUUAGUUCUGUGGGUAUUCUUGUGGUGCCCUUGACCCCUCUGGCCCCUACAAUCCUUCCUUCCCAUCUUCCACAGGAUUCCCCAAGCUCUGCCUAAAGUUUAGCGGGUCUCUGCAUCUGUUUCCAUCAGUUGCUGGGUAAAGCUGAAGUGGAAAUUUCUGGUUUCUUUGGAAAUUCAGAUAUGUCAUAUGAUGUUUUGUUGGGGCAAAUAGGUGAAAGGAUGUUUUGCUGAAGCAGAUAUAAGUGAGAAGAUGUUUUGCUGAAGCAGACAUGUAAGAGGACACAUGAUGCUUAGAAAGACUAUGACUCCACAGACAGUGGAAGGUGGCUCUGGCAUUGGUCAACCUUGUAGUGUGUCACUGAUCUUGGCUUGUCAUGACCUUGUAGAAACCAACUCACCAAAGAACUUCUCGUGAUAUUCCAGAGGCUUCUUGACAUUUCUUCCAACCUGGGCCGAUUGGCAGAGCCUCUCGGGCCAUGCUAAUUCCUGAGUGGUGAUUGCUGAGUGGACUGGACUGCAGCUGCUGAUUGCUAGAGGAUUGGAACUGCCCCAGUGAACUAUUUCUGAACAGGUCCACAACCCCUGUUUCCUAUUAACCUUUCUUUUCCACUACCUCUGGUGGCUGGUGGGCUAGAAGGGAGGUUGAAGCAUUUAAGAACCCUUAUUGAAGAAGGUUUUGAAAACUCUAAGCCUACGUGAAUCAUCUCUGGUGACAACUGGGCUAACCACCAAUCUAUGAGUGUUACAGAAUAUCAUUAAGAGUCAUUUCAUUGACUUUUUUUCCAAUUGUGUUUGGUUCUAUCGUGGGUAUCAGAGGAGGAGUGGAUGGGGUGGAGGGGACAUUGGGGGGAAGAGACUGGGAGGAGGGAGGGGAAACUUUGAUUGGGGUGUAAAAUAAAUGAAAUUAAAAUUUAAAAAAA
rnacentral:lncRNA from 1 species